GACGAACGCUGGCGGCGUGCCUAAUACAUGCAAGUAGGACCCAGUUGCGAACGGGAGAGUAACGCGUAGGUAACUACCUAUUAGCGGGGGUUAACUAUUGGAAACGAUAGCUAAUACCGCAUACUAGUAGAUGGACCUGCGUUGUAUUAGCUAGUAGGUAGGGUAAUGGCCUAACUAGGCCACGAUGCAUAGCCGACUUGAGAGGGUGAUCGGCGACACUGGGACUGAGACACGGCCCAGACGCCUACGGGAGGCAGCAGUAGGGAAUGUUCGGCAAUGGACGAAGGUCUGACAGAGAAACGCCGCGAGAGUGAAGAAGGUUUUCGGAUCGUAAAACUCUGUUGAUAGAGAAGCGGUAUCUAACCAGAAAGCCACGGCUAACGACGUGACAGCAGCCGCGGUAAUAC
rnacentral:rRNA from 1 species